CCUGAUUUCUGUGUCCAAUAUUUAACUGUCCGUCUUAUUUAAAAAAAUUAUAAAAAAAAUUAAAAAAACAAGUCGCGCAUAAAAUAUUAAUUAUAUUUUAUCAUCUAACAACAAUAAAAAUACGAAUUAUAAAAAAAAAUUCAUAUAAGACAGACAGUCAAAAUUGGACACGGAAAUUCAGGGUUUUAUUUUUU
rfam:Oryza sativa Japonica Group DNA, chromosome 4, cultivar: Nipponbare, complete sequence.